AGUCAUAUGCUUGUCUCAAAGAUUAAGCCAUGCAUGUCUAAGUAUAAGCGACUUGUACUGUGAAACUGCGAAUGGCUCAUUAAAUCAGUUAUGGUUUCUUUGAUGGUACCUUGCUACUUGGAUACCCGUAGUAAUUCUAGAGCUAAUACAUGCAGGAAUGCCCGACUUCGGAAGGGCUGUAUUUAUUAGAUAAGAAACCUUCUCGGGUUCGCCCGGUUGUGUGCUGAGUCAUAAUAACUGCUCGAAUCGCACGGCUCUACGCCGGCGAUGGUUCAUUCAAAUUUCUGCCCUAUCAGCUUUCGAUGGUAGGAUAGAGGCCUACCAUGGCGUUAACGGGUAACGGAGAAUUAGGGUUCGAUUCCGGAAAGGGGGCCUGAGAGAUGGCCACCACAUCCAAGGAAGGCAGCAGGCGCGUAAAUUGCCCGAAUCCUGACACAGGGAGGUAGUGACAAGAAAUAACAAUACAGGGCUACUUCUAGUCUUGUAAUUGGAAUGAGUACAACUUACAUCUCUUCACGAGGAUCAAU
rnacentral:rRNA from 1 species